UACAGAGGGUGCGAGCGUUAAUCGGAAUUACUGGGCGUAAAGCGCACGUAGUCGGCUUUGCAAGUCGGUUGUGAAAUCCCCGGGCUCAACCUGGGAACUGCAUCCGAGACUGCAUUGCUAGAGUAUGGGAGAGGAAAGCGGAAUUCCCGGUGUAGUGGUGAAAUGCGUAGAGAUCGGGAGGAACACCAGUGGCGAAAGCGGCCGACUGGACCUGUCCUGACGCUGAGGCGCGAAAGCGUGGGGAGCGAACCGG
rnacentral:rRNA from 1 species